CCAUACCAUCCUGAACACACCAGAUCUCGUCUGAUCUCGGAAGCUAAGCAGGGUCGGGCCUGGUUAGAACUUGGAUGGGAAAAGGAUUUUUGUAAUAGUGCUUCCUUUCCCAGAGGUGAUUUACCAUGUG
ensembl:rRNA 5S_rRNA 5S ribosomal RNA